CAAAAACAUGUCCUUUAGAGUUUAAUUUAAGGUCUAACCUGCCCACUGAAUUUUUUUUUAAAUGGCCGCAGUAAUUUGACUGUGCAAAGGUAGCAUAAUCAUUAGUUUUUUAAUUGAAAGCUUGUAUGAAGGGUUGGACGAGGUAAAAUCUGUCUCUAAUAAAUUUAAUUUAGAAUUUAACUUUUAAGUUAAAAGGCUUAAAUAAUAUUAAAAGACGAGAAGACCCUAUAGAUCUUUAUAUUUAAAAUAUUAAAUUUAAUUAAGAAUUUUUAAAAUUUUAUUAUUUUAAUUAUUUUAUUGGGGUAAUAUAAAGAUUAAAAUAAUUCUUUUUUUUUAUUUACAUAAAUUUAUGAAUUUGUGAUCCAAUUAUAUUGAUUAUAAGAUUAAGUUACCUUAGGGAUAACAGCGUAAUUUUUUUAGAGAGUUCUUAUCGAUAAAAAAGUUUGCGACCUCGAUGUUGGAUUAAAGAUUAUUUCAGGUGCAGAAGUUUGAAAAUUUUGGUCUGUUCGACCAUUAAAUCUUUAC
rnacentral:rRNA from 1 species